GCGUGUCCACACGGCGCGUUGCGUUGCGUUGCGUCGUCGCAACGCAAAUAUUUUGACGCAUAGCCGGCCACACGGGCGCUGCAGCGUUACUAUGACGCAGUCAACGUUCCGUCGGCGCAGCGGCGACGCACAGUUGCGGCAAGUAUUUUGAAAAAAAUUCGCAGUCAGUCUAUAGCAAAUCAUGGAUCGGAAAAGACGUCUAGCAUUGCUCCUAUUACUACGUCACCGCCGAAAUCGACGCAAGAUCACAAGACGGUACUGGAUCAGUCCUUUCAUUUCAUUAAGAAAUCGUGAUGGACAGUUUUUUUUUUUAGAAUAUCGGGAGUUGCUAUUAGACGAAAAGAAGUUUUAUAAUUUUUUUAGAAUGAGUGUAUCCAGCUUCGAAUGUUUAUUGAAGUCCUUAGAACCACACAUACGAAAAAACUAUACUAAUAUGAGGAAUCCAGUGGAACCAGUAGAAAUGCUGGGAAUCACUUUAAGAUACCUAGGAAGUGGAAAUUCAAUAACUGAUUUACAUUUCAAAUUCAAACGGGGAAAAUCUACUAUUGCAUAUAUAAUACAAAGAGUUUGUCGUGCUAUAU